UUGCGUAGGCGGAAUGCUCCGUCAAAACUGAAACAUCUCUGCUCAACAGGGAAUCCGGUUUUGAUACCAGCAUUCUUUGAGUCUUUCAGAGGUAACUGGAACUUGCGGUGGAGCGGUGAAAUGCGUUGAUAUUGCAAGGAACACCAAAGGCGUAGGCAGGUUACUGGGAAAGAUCUGACGCUGAUGCACGAAAGCUAGGGGAGCGAAAGGGAUUAGAGACCCCUGUAGUCCUAGCCGUAAACUAUGAACACUAGAUGUCCGCUUUUUAAGGUGGAUGUCGCAAGCUAACGCGUUAAGUGUUCCGCCUGGGGAGUACGGCCGCAAGGCUAAA
rnacentral:rRNA from 1 species